rnacentral:rRNA from 1 species
AGAGUUUGAUCAUGGCUCAGGAUGAACGCUGACAGAAUGCUUAACACAUGCAAGUCGAUGGGGAAGUGGUGCUUGCACCAUGGUAACCAUGGCGGACGGGUGAGUAACGCGUAAGGGACUUACCUGCGGGACUGGGAUAACAGUAGGAAACUGCUGAUAAGACCGGAUAAAGUCAUGGAGCUGCAUGGUUCUAUGAUGAAAGGAGACGCCUGCGGAGAGCCUUGCGUCCUAUUAGCUAGUUGGAGGGGUAAUGGCCCACCAAGGCGAAGAUAGGUAGCCGGCCUGAGAGGGUGGACGGCCACAAGGGGACUGAGAUACGGCCCUUACUCCUACGGGAGGCAGCAGUGGGGAAUAUUGGACAAUGGGGGCAACCCUGAUCCAGCAAUUCUGUGUGCACGAAGACGGUUUUCGGAUUGUAAAGUGCUUUCAGCAGGGAAGAAGGAAGUGACGGUACCUGCAGAAGAAGCGACGGCUAAAUACGUGCCAGCAGCCGCGGUAAUACGUAUGUCGCGAGCGUUAUCCGGAAUUAUUGGGCAUAAAGGGCAUCUAGGCGGCCUAACAAGUCAGGGGUGAAAACCUGCGGCUCAACCGCAGGCUUGCCUUUGAAACUGUAAGGCUGGAGUAUCGGAGAGGUGGACGGAACUGCACGAGUAGAGGUGAAAUUCGUAGAUAUGUGCAGGAAUGCCGAUGAUGAAGAUAGUUCACUGGACGAUAACUGACGCUGAAGUGCGAAAGCCGGGGGAGCAAACAGGAUUAGAUACCCUGGUAGUCCCGGCCGUAAACGAUGAUUACUGGGUGUGGGCAGGAAGACUGUCUGUGCCGAAGCAAAUGCGAUAAGUAAUCCGCCUGGGGAGUACGGCCGCAAGGCUGAAACUCAAAGGAAUUGACGGGGACCCGCACAAGCGGUGGAGCAUGU